rnacentral:rRNA from 1 species
CUCAUAUUGAAACCUAGUGAUGUGUGAGUUAGUGGCGGACGGGUGAGUAACGCGUGGAGAACCUGCCGUAUACUGGGGGAUAACACUUAGAAAUAGGUGCUAAUACCGCAUAAGCGCACAGCUUCGCAUGAAGCAGUGUGAAAAACUCCGGUGGUAUACGAUGGAUCCGCGUCUGAUUAGCUGGUUGGCGGGGUAACAGCCCACCAAGGCGACGAUCAGUAGCCGGCCUGAGAGGGUGAACGGCCACAUUGGGACUGAGACACGGCCCAAACUCCUACGGGAGGCAGCAGUGGGGAAUAUUGCACAAUGGGGGAAACCCUGAUGCAGCGACGCCGCGUGAGUGAAGAAGUAUUUCGGUAUGUAAAGCUCUAUCAGCAGGGAAGAAAAUGACGGUACCUGACUAAGAAGCCCCGGCUAACUACGUGCCAGCAGCCGCGGUAAUACGUAGGGGGCAAGCGUUAUCCGGAUUUACUGGGUGUAAAGGGAGCGUAGACGGCAGCGCAAGUCUGAAGUGAAAUCCCAUGGCUUAACCAUGGAACUGCUUUGGAAACUGUGCAGCUGGAGUGCAGGAGAGGUAAGCGGAAUUCCUAGUGUAGCGGUGAAAUGCGUAGAUAUUAGGAGGAACACCAGUGGCGAAGGCGGCUUACUGGACUGUAACUGACGUUGAGGCUCGAAAGCGUGGGGAGCAAACAGGAUUAGAUACCCUGGUAGUCCACGCCGUANACGAUGAUUACUAGGUGUUGGGGGACCAAGNUCCUUCGGUGCCGGCGCAAACGCAUUAAGUAAUCCAC